UGAUCAGUUGGAAGACCCAGAAUGAUCGAGAGAGAGAGAGAGAGAGAGAGAGAACUGGAGCUCUCCGACCCCGACGCCACUGCGACCCGAGAAGGAACCCGGCCGUCGCGCCACCAUCCGGCCACCCCAAGACGGCGCACACCCACCAUUCCCUUGGCCUCCGCGUCGUCUACGUCCCUGUGGUUCCAGAUCUUACAUGCAGCGACUAGAAGCGGGGAUUCGACGACGGAAAGCCUUGGGUCUCCUCCGGCGAUUUCUGCAAACUCCGGCGACUCGGGCUACCGACAGAGCCGCUUGUGGUAUGAAACCAAACCUCCUCGUCAUGCUCUACAUCCCAAUAUGAUCAGUUUUUAGAUUUAAUCAACUUUUGACGAUUUUACUUCUGGGUUGCUCUCGACCUUGCCGUGUUCUUCGACGCCGGUGGCUUUUCGGGCAUUCCUGGGCUCCAUCUCUUGCUCAGCUGCACUCCUAGCCCCCAAUCGAGAAGUCUGUCGAAUUGCUGGUGUGAAAAUCAUCAGUUCAUGACCAUUUCCGUCUCGACAGUGGGGUUCUGGGGACUGAGUUUGGCUCGAUUGACGUAGAUUUCCGAUUACAAAGGCUAGGUUCGGCUUGCUGUGUUCUUCGUGAGAAAGCACACCUGCAAUUCGAGGUUCCUUUUCGAUCUAGUUGAUCACAAGGUGAGUUGGGUUCUGUUGAAGGUCUGAGAAUUUACACUUCUGGAAACUGGGCUGCCUUGUAGCAUGCAUGCUGUGAUGUUGUGUUUGAGAAGAGUAAAUUGGUAGUUAGUCAGAAGAAAUCGAAAGCUAUGUUGUGAGCUUGCUGUUUUGUCCAUGUUUGCUAAGAUUGUAGUUGUUAAAUGAUUUUGGUGAUGGAUGUUGUAGUAUGUUUCUUAUUCUAAAUCAAUCAAAUUUCGGGAGGCUUCAUGAAGUGCUUCUUUAGGAGUUAAACUUCCAUUUGUGAAAGCGUUGCAUGCUCUCCUUUUUUUGUACUUAUUUGUGAUAUGUUAUUGUUGUUAUUUUACUAAGAUCAAUAAAGUUUUAUAAAUCUGAACGAAGGUUCUUCAAU